AACGAACGCUGGCGGCAGGCCUAACACAUGCAAGUCGAACGCUCCGCAAGGGGAGUGGCAGACGGGUGAGUAACACGUGGGAAUCUUCCUAUUGGUACGGAAUAGCUCAGGGAAACUUGGGGUAAUAUCGUAUACGCCCUUCGGGGGAAAGAUUUAUCGCCGAUAGAUGAGCCCGCGUCUGAUUAGCUAGUUGGUGAGGUAAUGGCUCACCAAGGCGACGAUCAGUAGCUGGUCUGAGAGGAUGACCAGCCACACUGGGACUGAGACACGGCCCAGACUCCUACGGUAGGCAGCAGUGGGGAAUAUUGGACAAUGGGCGCAAGCCUGAUCCAGCCAUGCCGCGUGAGUGACGAAGGUCUUCGGAUUGUAAAGCUCUUUUGGCGGGGACGAUAAUGACGGUACCCGCAGAAUAAGCCCCGGCUAACUUCGUGCCAGCCGCCGCUGUAAAAC
rnacentral:rRNA from 1 species